rnacentral:rRNA from 1 species
UGCAUAGGCGGACUAAUAAGUCAGUGGUGAAAUCUCUCGGCUCAACCGGGAAACUGCCAUUGAUACUGUUAGUCUUGAGUUCGGUUGAGGUAGGCGGAAUGUGUAAUGUAGCGGUGAAAUGCUUAGAUAUUACACAGAACACCAAUUGCGUAGGCAGCUUACUAGACCGACACUGACGCUGAGGCACGAAAGCGUGGGUAGCGAACAGGAUUAGAUACCCUGGUAGUC